CGUUGAAAUGGGCUAAGAUUAUCCCGGCCCGUUAACAGGCAAACCGAUUCACAAUUCACGUUUCCUUCUUGUUCCCAGCUUCGCCCUCUCUCUAGAAAACCCAAAUACUUGCGAAGGGGAAGAGACAGAUCGCUGGGAGAUGGCUCGCCGUAGAAACGAAAGCGACGACGAUGACGACGAUUUCCUCUACCGAUACCCCGUCCCCUCCUCCUCAUCCGCCUCGGCCGCCAACUCCCGCUCCCGCGGCGGCAGCGGCGCCUCCUCCAAGGGCGGAUCCGGCGGCCUCGCCCCCUCAAAAUCGACGGUCUAUGUCUCCAACAUCGAUUACACCCUCACCAACUCCGACCUCCACACGAUCUUCUCCACCUUCGGCAAGGUCGCCCGCGUCACCGUCCUCAAGGACCACGCCACCCGCCGCAGCCGCGGCGUCGCUUUCGUGCUCUUCGUCUCCCGCCACGACGCUGCGGCGGCCGCUCGGUCCAUGAACGGGAAGGUCCUCAACGGCCGCACGCUCUCGGCCUCCAUCGCUGCUGACAACGGCCGUGCCGCCGAGUUCAUUCGCCGGAGGGUCUACAAGGACAAGAGCCGGUGCUACGAAUGCGGCGAGGAGGGCCACCUCUCCUACGAGUGUCCGAGGAACCAGCUGGGGCCCAGGGAGCGGCCCAAUCCGAAGCGGGCGCGGCGGAGGGAACAGGGCGGCGGCGGCGGCGGUGGCGGUGGAGGUCAAGAUGGUGGUUCUGACGGUGGCGAAGAGGAAGCUUUCGAUAACGAUAACUGGGCGUCGGUGGUGGACACGAGGGGGUUCGACGAGAAGGCGAGGGAAAGGGACGAGCGUUUUGGUGAUGGGAACGACAAGAAGAAAAAGGAGAAGAAAGUUAGCUAUUUCAGCGACGAGAGUGGCGAGGAUGAAUAGGAAGGUUCCUGAUGAAGAGUUUGAGUAUCUUAGGCAUCUCAUAGAAGAAAAGUGUACUGAAUGAACUGAUGAAUGAUAGGUCAAAUGUCGCCUUGCGAGGUAUUUGCAUAGGGCUGCAGCUGAACCUUGUGGGUCAAGGGCUCUGUGCAGCGUGGCCACAGCCAAUGCUCCGCGCAGCUGCACCAAGCGUGCCUCGGCAAUUCAGCAUGCCCGCGGCUGCACCAAGCCUGCCUUGGCAAUUCAGCAUGUCCGCGGCUGCACCGAGCCUGCCACGUGGCUGUACUACUACAGCACUUUCGCCUGCAUUCUGUGGCUGCCUAUUUCAGUCAAAUGUUGCCUUGCCAGGUAUUUGUUGGUUCCUCUGGAGGUGUAGUUAUUCUCAGCACUUAUCAUCUCAUCACUGCACCUGCUUCCAUUUUUGUUGAUCCAUUUAUUUUGUUUCAUAUGCUCCAGAUACUGUGUUCUUGGAUCAAUAAUUCUAUCUAUCUUUCAACAUGCAGUUUAGCUGCCAUUACUGUUAAAUUGUCAAUCUAUAUAUGUUAAGUGUAUCUAGUCAAGUUUUUAUAUUAGAAGUAACAUUAAAAUGUAAGGCUUGAUUAAAUUCCGGCAAAAUAUGAAAGAAAAAAUCGGCAUGUUUGGCUCUUUAGUAAAA